rnacentral:rRNA from 1 species
UACGUAGGGUGCAGGCGUAAUCGGAAUUACUGGGCGUAAAGCGUGCGCAGGCGGCUCCUUAAGUCAGAUGUGAAAUCCCCGGGCUUAACCUGGGAACUGCGUUUGAAACUGAGGGGCUAGAGUGUGGAAGAGGGGGGUGGAAUUCCAGGUGUAGCAGUGAAAUGCGUAGAGAUCUGGAGGAACACCGAUGGCGAAGGCAGCCCCCUGGGCUAACACUGACGCUCAUGCACGAAAGCGUGGGGAGCAAACAGG